GUCUCUUCGGAACAUCCAAUAAAAUUGGAACGAUAUCGAGAAGAUUAAUAAGGCCGCGCAAGAAUGACACGCACAAUCAAGAAAUAAUCCAAAAAAAA